GAUGAACGCUGGCGGCGUGCCUAAUACAUGCAAGUCGAGCGAACGGACGAGAAGCUUGCUUCUCUGAUGUUAGCGGCGGACGGGUGAGUAACACGUGGAUAACCUACCUAUUAGACUGGGAUAACUUCGGGAAACCGUAGCUAAUACCGCAUAAUAUUUUGAACCGCAUGGUUCAAAUGUGAAAGACGGUCUUGCUGUCACUUAUAGAUGGAUCCGCGUGGCUUUAGCUGGUUGGUAAGGUAACGGCUUACCAAGGCACCGAUGCAUAGCCGCCCUGAGAGGGGGAUCGCCCACACUGGAACGGAGAAACGGCCCGAACUCCAACGGGAGGAAGAAGAAGGGAAUCUUCGGAAAGGGGCGAAAGCCUGACGGAGAAACGCGGCGUAGGUGAUGAGGGUCUUCGGAUCGUAAAACUCGGUUAUAAGGGAAGAACAGAUGUGGAAGUAAAUGUGCACAUCUUGACGGUAGCUAAUCAGAAAGCCACGGCUAACUACGUG
rnacentral:rRNA from 1 species